CGUCAAAUCAUCAUGCCCCUUAUGAUCUGGGCUACACACGUGCUACAAUGGCGGCCACAAAGGGAAGCGACCCUGUGAAGGUGAGCAAAUCCCAAAAAAGCCGUCCCAGUUCGGAUUGUAGUCUGCAACUCGACUACAUGAAGCCGGAAUCGCUAGUAAUCGCGAAUCAGCAUGUCGCGGUGAAUACGUUCCCGGGUCUU
rnacentral:rRNA from 1 species